GGAAAAUUUUGGAAGGAACGAUUAAAUGGAAUGAACUGCAAUGACAAAUUUGAGCUAUGUAUGGAGACGAUACAACAGCUUUGUGUAGCAAGAUCAAAACGGGACGUGCUACGUGGCGGCCAUAUUGACAAGGUCGAUGUUCCCGUCGAAGGAAAUGCAUGGACGUUGAAAUGAACUCCUAACUUGAUCUAUUUUCAACCAAUUUUCACGAGAGAGGGUGGACUCCUCCACGGUGCCGCUGAAGGGUCCCACUGCAUCCACGGCAUUGGACUGCACCGCCAGCUCAUAACGAGUGAAGGGCUUCAGCGCCCCGAUCAGGAUCUCCUGAGCGGAACUGCACACCACAAGUCAAGUACAAAACAUUAAAGGUCACUUUCGUUUUUCCGCAAGGGGGCUCUCGAGCAGAAAAGGUAAGAGUGAGACCGGAGGAAUAUAUGUGCCGAGGAAGUGACUUUUUACCGGUCCGGCCCUGUUACCGCUGCGCUAGCGUAUUACUGCAGUGUCUUAGUGAUUUUUACCGGUAUGUUUUUUUUAACCGGCCCUGUUAGCGUGUCGCUAGCGUUAGCACGGAGGCGCUAGAGUUAAACUCUAUGUACCGUCUUUCUUUGUAUAUAUCUCGUGUUUCAAUGUGGGUUGCAAUGUGGGCACUUGCGGCUUUUACACAGCUGCGGCAUAUGUAUGUACCAAAUGGUAUUUCCUUUAAAAAUGUACUAGGUGAUGCUUAUAACCAGGUGGGCUCUGUAGCCUAGGAAUUACGGUAUUACACUUUAUCUUAGUUGUUCUGGUUGCCGAGUACAAUGUGGUAAAUAUCUAUCAGUCCAUCCAUUUUCUUCUGCUUAUCCAGGGUGGGGAGAAGGGGGCAGCAGCCAAAGCAGGGAAGCCCAAACUUCCCCAACCACUUCACCCGGCUCUUCUGGGGGGGAUCCCAAGGUGUUCUCAGGCCAGCCGAGAGAAAAAAAGUCUCUCCAGCGUGUCCAGGGUUCUCCCUUGACCCUCCUACCAGCGGGACCUGCCAAGAACACCUCACGUGGGAGGGAUCCAGGAGAACAUCCGCAUCAGCUGCCCAACCCACCUCAUAUGGAAAUGGAAGCUCUUGCGAAGUUCUGAAACAAAAUGAGAGCAACUCACCAAGCCCCGUGAGGAGAUGGUAUCUGGCCUUCUUGCGGAGCCUAACUACGUGAGUCUGCGUCGUCUUCUCCCCAUCGGCGUCCACCUCUUGGCAGGAUAACUUGUAGC